rnacentral:rRNA from 1 species
AUUGAACGCUGGCGGCAGGCUUAACACAUGCAAGUCGAGCGGAGAUGAGGUGCUUGCACCUUAUCUUAGCGGCGGACGGGUGAGUAAUGCUUAGGAAUCUGCCUAUUUGUGGGGGACAACAUCCCGAAAGGAAUGCUAAUACCGCAUACGCCCUACGGGGGAAAGCAGGGGAUCUUCGGACCUUGCGCUAAUAGAUGAGCCUAAGUCGGAUUAGCUAGUUGGUGGGGUAAAGGCCUACCAAGGCGACGAUCUGUAGCGGGUCUGAGAGGAUGAUCCGCCAGACUGGGACUGAGACACGGCCCAGACUCCUACGGGAGGCAGCAGUGGGGAAUAUUGGACAAUGGGCGGAAGCCUGAUCCAGCCAUGCCGCGUGUGUGAAGAAGGCCUUUUGGUUGUAAAGCACUUUAAGCGAGGAGGAGGCUACCUGGAUUAUUACUCUAGGAUAGUGGACGUUACUCGCAGAAUAAGCACCGGCUAACUCUGUGCCAGCCGCCGCGGUAAGAC